GUCAUAUCACGUUGAAACACCGGUUCCCAUACGAGCACUGAAAUUAAGCAACGUUGAGCCUGGUCAGUACCUAGAUGGGUGACCUUUUCGGAAUAUCAAGUGUUGUAAG